GCAUGCAGUGGCAGACUCGUAACACUGUUACAUGCAACCCUGCCUCCUAAAAACAUGACGUUCCCACCCACUGAAACUGCAUACUAAAUUACGUUUUGAGGGAAAACCAAUUUACCAGCGCACAUCGUGAAACAGUCGCUGUUUUCAACAUA